rnacentral:misc_RNA from 1 species
GAUGAAGAACGUAGCGAAAUGCGAUAAGUAGUGUGAAUUGCAGAAUUCAGUGAAUCAUCGAAUCUUUGAACGCACAUUGCACCCCUUGGUAUCCCGAGGGGCAUGCCUGUUCGAGCGUCAUUUCACCACUCAAGCCUGGCUUGGUGUUGGGCGACGUCCCCUUUGGGGACGCGCCUUGAAACGCUCGGCGGCGUGGCACCGGCUUUAAGCGUAGCAGAAUCUUUCGCUUUGGAAGUCGGGGCCCCGUCUGCCGGAAGACCUACUCGCAAGGUUGACCUCGGAUCAGGCAGGGAUACCCGCUGAACUUAAGCAUAUCAAUAAGCGGAGGA